UUUUCGUCAAUUAAGAAAUUCCUGCAUGAGGCAACAGGAGGAGCAGGAUCCAAGCUUUCUUUAAGAGAGCAUGGAAGGCCAUAAAAAAACCUUUCUGCUGUUGCAGGCGAACAAGAGUGGAGUCUAAUACUCCACAACAGCCUGAUCGGGAGCCAGAGCCAGAGCCUGAGCCUGUGCCGGGUCCCUCUGGGCUCCAGAAUGUGCCUGACACCAACCCGGCUGUUCCCGAGCCGACAUCUGUCCAAGAUCUUCACAACUGUGAACCAACAAAAGAUGAUCGAAGGGAGACGAAGCCAAUGACGAACACCACAACCACACACCACAACUCACAGGACACCACGAGGAAGACGAACGAUGGGAAUCUGGAGGAGAACGAAGAGCUGACAAGGAGAGCACAGGUAAGUUCACAACAGGUAAGUAUAACAGGGAAUAUGCUGAGAAUAGCGAGUCCACUUCGAAUAGUCAAGCUUGGACAGUGAAUGCAGAGUGGUGUGUGCUUUUAUGUGGUGCUUGAUUGAUGAGAUGAUAGCUGUCAGGUGCUGGUGAUCAGAACUCGGGUGAUUGUGAGCGUUGUGUUGUAGUGAGGGUGGAGCCUGGCGCGGAUGUAACAGUGUCAGGUAAAGUGAUCACAACAGAUAUUUUUUCUAAGAUGUUCAGUGAUCAAAAGGAUAUCUAUUCCAACCAUUUAUGGUAUACACCUGUGAGCGCAGCUGGGUCUACUGGUGUUGUGAACUUUGCCAAAAAGUUUAGUAGGUCAUAGGAUGUGCAUUGAACUUUUUUUACAACACACAGCUGGAUUUGCAUGGCAUCUGGUGAGAUUUGUGGGUAAUGUUGAGGACGAAAAUAUUUUAUCUAAGAAAAACAGGAAUGUUUAUAAUAUGGAUCUGGUGAAUACGACUUCAAACUGAUGAGAUUCAGGAUGAGGUUAGAUAGAGAAGGUUGAGGAGAAGUCGAUAACAACAAACUUAAAUAGAGAUGAAGGUGAUUGUUUUAACAAACCAGUGUAUGCUGUUGGAAAAUUCUAGUUUAAUUUUAGUGAAUUUUGUACGAUUAGUUACAUUUGUUAUUUCUUUAUAUUCACUCUUCAAUUUUCAAUCCUCAACACAAGUACAGACGUGCACACUUAGUUAAAAUAUCUGGAGGCUGAAAAAAAAAAAAAAUGAUUUUCAACCGUAAGACUUGUGGGUGGUAAUUAUUAUCUGAAACGCACACACGUACUUAGUUAAAGCAUGAGUGUAAAUUGAUAUUCAAUCUUUGAUUUUUCGGGGUCUUAAAAGCCCACCACCUGUGUUCAAACAUACAUAGAUACAUACUUAUCUAACCGAGAUCAAAGUGUGUCUGCAACAUCAGGGGGUCGUAAUAAAAACCAGAUACGACGGCGGUGGCGGUGGGGUACCCCUAUCAGUGUACCGUGAAAAGAUUGUAAAACAUCUAAAGGGUUUUCACUGUCUGUGUAGCCUAUAACCAUGUCUGAUAAAUUUACGUAUCAGAUUUGUACCUCUGAUUAAAUAACUUCACCCCUACCGCAGUUGUGGUGUUUUUUGAAAUACCUUUUUAGGAUCCACCCACCACACAACCGUGAUCAGUUAAAUAUUAAAAAGUUGUACAACUUCAUUACCUGCAAAGUCUAUCUUCUUGCCCCGCAACAUUGGUAUACAUCAUUAAUCGACGGAACAAUGGCUGAUAAUUACGAUGGUAAGUGUGUUUUUCAUCUGAAUUAUUUGGAUAUAUUUUAAUGUGAAUGUUUGCUUUAAUACAAUGUGGUUGUCUCUAGAUACUUUUGACAAUUUGGAAUUUGACGAUGGUUUGCUGCAGAUUCUUGACCAGAUCUGUAUGUUUUUUUCUCUUUUAUCUAUUAAGUCUUUUAAUGUAUAAAAAUAAUAAGAGGUUGUAGUUACCACGGAAUCACAACACUCGUCAGACAACGUCACAUGACCCGCCCACACCAACAAACCGGCCCUGGAGGUAGGGGUUCAGGGUCGAGUAAUACGCCAAUUCCGGACCCGGCACCGAUUUAAGGCCCUUACACCGGGGUUCGAGGUGUGAAACGGUUGAGGUAUCCGGGGUGUGAUGACACACCUAGUACCAGUCGUUUCAGGACUUUGGAGAAUAACGAACAAGACAACGAUGAAGCAGGAUUAACGGCCUAGAGUGACUUGCAAGUACAAGCGUGGGAUGAAGUGAGGUUUUUGUGAGACAGAAGAAGCAGGGGAAGAUCUACCCCAUGAAAUCUCACAGGAAGUGUUUCGUGAUUAGGAUUUAAAUAGAAGACUUGAUUAUGAUAUGCUGGGUUGUAUUAAUCGUAACUUUGAGAGGGUUCUUGACUUGGUUGGACCCCCGUUAUCCUAUCACGAAAAUAGAAGAGAUCGUGGAGGCAGCCAUAGUUGAUGUUUUAUCGAUUUUAAGAAAUAUCAUAACUUGUCAACAACAGCACAACGAGGCAUUGGGCCACGCUGCAGCCUUUUGGAGAAAUUGCCACGAGGAACUGUAUAAUGAAUUUCGUCAGUUUCAACACAAUAUGGAUGGCCUACCGGAGGAAGUUAACCAACAAAGGGGGGAAAUGAGGUUAGUGGUCAACGCCUUAAGUUUAAUGAAUGAAAGACUGUCAGUUAUGCAAAGAAUGAUAGCAGAGCUAUACAAUGAUGUUAUGAGGAAUAGAUUGUAAUGUUCUAUGUGAGAAAAGUACUGGUGGUGAUGUUUAUGUGUUUUUGCAUUUUGUUAUUGACUGAUUAUUGCUGUGUUUAAUUCUUAUAGAAAAUCAUUGUUUUAUUUGCUUUGUUAUUGACAUUGAUUCUUAUUAUUGGUUUUAUUUCUUACAGAAAUUGUCUUAUUACUCUUUAUUGAUUGUAUUUUUGAUUAUAUGGUCAUUAUGAGUGGUGGAGUGGUGUCUUUUCAUGGUGUAUACACUUGUCUUUAAGAUAGA